GACGUAGGGCGCGAGCGUUGUCCGGAUUUAUUGGGCGUAAAGAGCUCGUAGGCGGCUUGUCGCGUCGAAUGUGAAAACUCGGGGCUCAACUCCGAGCUUGCAUUCGAUACGGGCAGGCUAGAGUUCGGUAGGGGAGGACUGGAAUUCCUGGUGUAGCGGUGAAAUGCGCAGAUAUCAGGAGGAACACCGGUGGCGAAGGCGGGUCUCUGGGCCGAUACUGACGCUGAGGAGCGAAAGCGUGGGGAGCAAACAGG
rnacentral:rRNA from 1 species